GCUGUGGGGGUGCAUAAGGGCCGUUGCGAGGGCCUCUCCCCCCAUUCGAUCUCUUAAUAAUCGGGCCUUCGACUUUGCUCAUGUUAGGACGAGGUUCUCCUCCUAUUCCUAACAUGACUAUGGGGGCGCAUAAGGGCUGUUGCGAGGGCCUCUCCACCCAUUCGAUCUCUUAAUAACUGAGUCUUUGACUUUGCUUAUAUUAGGAUGAGGUUCUCCUCC
rnacentral:lncRNA from 1 species